AGGGGAGAGAGAAAGAUCAGCAGGAGGCGAAAGAACAAAAGGAGAAACCCGAGAAAGGGGGAGAGGAACGCGGGGCCCGGAUGGUCCGGGAGCCGGUGGCGCAGGCGAGAGGCGGAAAGUGGAAGCACAGAGGACAACAAAACAGAGCAGCUCCUUUGUUAUGGGGAGGAGAAAAUGAGACAGAGAACAGCAAAGCCCAAUGACGUUUAGAUUCUUGAGGCUUCUUUCUCUUACCUGGUGUCCAAAGCUAGAGGAAUGGAAGAAAUGUCCCAUCUAGUCAUCUCAGGUGACAUCGCUAAUCAAUCAACACACUUUACCACUGUGUCUCGACUUGGGCUGGAGUGAAUCUCCCUGGCACCGAACUCUAGGUCAGCUUUAUCUGUGAUUCAGCAUUUGCUUUCAAAAUGAAAUCUAUUUACUCUUCCUGUGCUGUGGGGUGGUGCAGGAAUAUCAAAAGAAUCCAGGGGAAGGAGUGAUUAGAGAAAUGUCUCCCAUAGAACUAAACUUUGUACUUGUUUAUAAAGAGUGAUGCAAUAUAAAUUAAUAGAUGAAGAGAGUAGAAUAUUCUAGAUUAGGAAACAGGAGCAAGUGAGAACACAGGUGCCCUCUGUCAUGGUAUGCCAAGCCAUACUCAGUAAGCAAGCUAGACUGGCAAUGUUACAAAGAGUUGCAAGGCUAGACAGUGGCUAAUCAGAGAGUUCUGUCCAGAGAUAAAGACUUGGAAAUCAUCAAUACAGAAUAGCAGUCAACAGGAAUAGAUGACAUCAGAUGGAGAUGUACGUAAUGUGAGAGAAGUGACUCUGCCUUUGCAAGUCAGGUGAUGGUCUUUUAAAGGAGACCUAGGAGCAGUAACCAGGAGAAUAGGAGGCCACAGAGUCUGGUGAGGACCUUCAGAAGGCAUUAGUGGUAAACAGUGCCAGGUCCUGCUGAGAGGUCCCUGAAGGCUAGCACUAAGAAAAGUUGUUGAAUUUCACAGCUACGCCAGCAGUACAGUUGUGGUGAAAGAGCAGACAGUAAUUUUGGUGGGAUAAGGGGAAUGGAAAUGGGAGUGAAGAAUGGAAGCCAUGUUUUAGAAAAUACUGAAAAGAGGAAAGGUAGGUAAUUCUGUUAAAAAGAUGAGAUAUAGGAUGGUGGCUGGGAGACAAGCUUUGCUUACUUGUUGUCAAAUGAGAGAAGUUUUACCAUAUGUAAAUUAUGACAAAGAAAGGAAGCAGCAAAGAAGAGAGGAGAUGAAGAUAUAGAAUAAUGUGCAAUUAAUAGACUGAGAUUUGUGAGCAGGUAAGAGUGCAAAUGUGGAUAUAUAAAUAGGAAAGGAAGGAUAAAAGAUGCAGAGCCUGAACUCUUACAGAUAUGUAGAUUGUAGAAAUCUUUGCAAGUCCCCAAAUUUAGACCUCUUUACCGAUUGUCCUCCUGAGACAUAGGUUUGUGUGUCUACAUCUUUAUGGACCAUUUAGACUUGGUUAUGACCACCAUGCAAUAUACCAUGGAACACAUUCAAGAUUUGAUCUUUCCUUUGCUCAAACCAACUCCUGUCCCCUAAACUGAGGAACAGCAGUGCCAGGCACUCAGUUGCUCAGGCAAGUCUGCAUUGUAUUCAACUCCCAGAGUUGUCUUCACUUAAAACACACAAAGGCAAUCACUAGGUUUUGCUGUUUCUGACUCUUAGAUCCCUCUGACCUGUGGUUAUUUUUUUUCCUUCACCACAGUAACCUUCCGCUGUCCAACAUCAUCUCUUUGCCUCAUUACUGCCAGAACAAUGACAAUUUUCCUACUCUCACAUUUCCCCUUCUCUAAUCCCCACUGUGGUCCGAGGUUCCUUUCACAGGGUAGUUCCAUCCCAACUCAGAAGUGGAAAUGAACGCUGAGUGGCUCGUGUGAAAAUAUGUUCCAAUUUGAAAGUCCGACUGCAUUGCUAAGCAGGGGAACGACGCCUUCUCCUACAGUGGUUUGUAAGGACUUUUCACGUUUCUUAUUCACAUUGACUUCUCUCAUCUCAGUGUCAUCUUUGAAAUCUUCAGUGACACUCUGGUGGUGUACAUAUUUCACCACAUUCAUCUGGCCAUCAUUUGCUCUUCACUUGCUGAGCAUCUAGAAAAUCAUGCCUCUGGCAAACCUUCUCUGGAUCCAAGAGUUUUAGGUGACUUCCCUAUGGAU